rnacentral:rRNA from 1 species
UGGGGAAUAUUGCACAAUGGGCGAAAGCCUGAUGCAGCGACGCCGCGUGCGGGAUGAAGGCCUUCGGGUUGUAAACCGCUUUUAAUUGGGAGCAAGCGAGAGUGAGUGUACCUUUUGAAUAAGCACCGGCUAACUACGUGCCAGCAGCCGCGGUAAUACGUAGGGUGCAAGCGUUAUCCGGAAUUAUUGGGCGUAAAGAGCUCGUAGGCGGUUUGUCACGCCUGGUGUGAAAGUCCAUCGCUUAACGGUGGAUCUGCGCCGGGUACGGGCAGGCUAGAGUGCAGUAGGGGAGAUUGGAAUUCCCGGUGUAACGGUGGAAUGUGUAGAUAUCGGGAAGAACACCAAUGGCGAAGGCAGAUCUCUGGGCUGUUACUGACGCUGAGGAGCGAAAGCAUGGGGAGCGAGCAGGAUUAGAUACCCUGGUAGUCCAUGCCGUAAAACGGUGGAUGCUGGAUGUGGGACCCUUCCACGGGUUCCGUGUCGGAGCUAACGCGUUAAGCAUCCCGCCUGGGGAGUACGGCCGCAAGGCUAAAACUCU